rnacentral:rRNA from 1 species
UACGGAGGGGGUAAGCGUUGUUCGGAAUUACUGGGCGUAAAGGGCUCGUAGGCGGCCAACUAAGUCAGACGUGAAAUCCCUCAGCUUAACUGGGGAACUGCGUCUGAUACUGGAUGGCUUGGAUUUGGGAGAGGGAUGCGGAAUUCCAGGUGUAGCGGUGAAAUGCGUAGAUAUCUGGAGGAACACCGGUGGCGAAGGCGGCAUCCUGGACCAACAUUGACGCUGAGGAGCGAAAGCCAGGGGAGCAAACGGG